rnacentral:rRNA from 1 species
UACGUAGGGGGCAAGCGUUGUCUGGAAUCAUUGGGCGUAAAGAGCGUGUAGGUGGCUCGGUAAGUCCGCUGUGAAAGUCCAGGGCUCAACCCUGGAAUGCCGGUGGAAACUGUCGAGCUCGAGUCCGGAAGAGGCGAGUGGAAUUCCUGGUGUAGCGGUGAAAUGCGCAGAUAUCAGGAGGAACACCAAUGGCGAAGGCAGCUCGCUGGGACGGUACUGACACUGAGACGCGAAAGCGUGGGGAGCAAACAGG